rnacentral:rRNA from 1 species
GGAAGCGCCUGUGACCAGACUCGCGCCCGGCGGAUCAUCCGGCGUUCUCGCCGGUGCACUCCGCCGGGCUCGGGCCAGCAUCGGUUCUCGCGGGGGGAUAAAGGCUUCGGGGAUGUGGCUCCUCCGGGAGUGUUAUAGCCCGUUGCUCAAUGCCCUCGCGGGGACCGAGGACCGCGCAUUGCAAGGAUGCUGGCGUAAUGGUCACCAGCGA